UUUGCGAUUCAGGAUCAGAACUGGAUCCAGUUGUCCUGGUUCUUGGAGUCCUGUUGGCCUGCUGUCUGACUGUGAUCGUCAUCCUUAUUGUCAUCCUAAUUUUCUACAUUAAUCAAAGGAAAGUUUGUGAAGUACCGUCUAAUGUGAGGAUGACAACAGGAGCACCGAGGGCUUGUCAUCAUCUUGGACAUGACUGGUCAGCUGUGGAUCAAUCAAAUAAUCUGGAUGGUGAAGCAAAGGCAGUGUACUACGCAGUACUGGAUUUCUCAACAAGGAAAGGAGGAGAAUACACAACAGUGUGUGUGUACGCUGCUGUUAGAGCAGAUUAGCACAACCAGCAUCACCCCUCACUAUCGACAAACAGGAGCUGUGCAGAUAUCCCCGAGUCUCCUCAGAGCUAUCAACAGUGAUGAAAAGCGGCUGAAUACUAUAAAAGCUUUGCACCCAGCUGAUUCUGUGGGAGAUCAUCAGAUUUUUUAGUUGCUUUGUGAAUUUGUUGUUGCAGCAUGUAUGCCAGUU